CCACAGCUCCAGCAGUGCUCAGAGCCCCGUCCAGCCUGACCUUGGCUGUCUGCAGGGACGGGGCACCACCGCCUCUCUGGAGGAGUGAAGACCAGGACUCCCACGUGUUCUUCUGUUUGGCCUUUCCCAGGGGGUUAUUGGUCAUCAGGGAACUUCACAUCCUGGCCUCUGCCUCUGCGAAGGAAGACCCACAUCCUCAAUCUCAGCUGUACUCUUCCAAGGAAUGAAAUCUAGUUGGUUUGAUGCGAUUUGUCUCCUGUGUGUAACUGCAGAGCUUGGCAGAACCCGGGCAGAUAUUUC
rnacentral:lncRNA from 1 species